rnacentral:rRNA from 1 species
UGGUGGAGUGGUUUGUCUGGUUAAUUCCGUUAACGAACGAGACCUUUAUCUACUAAAUAGGUCUGUAUAGCCUUGGCUGUCCGGAACAAUUCUUAGAGGAACUUGGUGUGCCUACCGCAUGGAAGUUUGAGGCAAUAACA